CCGACCCAGCCACAGAAACGCAGGCACCGUUCCACGAGUAACCUAGCUCCAUCACACAGCUCCCUGAAACCCUGGCUGGCCCUUUCCACCUUACUCCACAAAUACAGAAGAGGGAAAAUAUUGUUUUAAUAAAUAAGUGCUGGUCAAAUAUGGAACUUUGGGAGAAAAGAACUUUCAACUGUAUAUGUGGUCACGGAGUGGGGGCUGAUGAUGUUCCAUCAGUAAGUGGCUUAAAAAAAUAAAUAAAAGGAUUCCUCAUCUCUAGCUACACGGAAGACAAACGUCCGAACGACCAAGAAUAGCAAACAGGGAUAGUCAAGCAGCAGCAAUCAGGGCAAAGGAGCAAAGUGAGUGCCAGCAGCCUCCGGACUCCGCAGGACCUAGACCCGCCUCGAUCCUGUCACCUGGUGGACCCACGAACACUGACGGGAAGGACACACCCCACCCCCGGGCGCCACACUGAAAAGUCUGGCAGACGGCAAAGAGGGCGGGCUGCGAGAGGAAUCUUGGAUCUCAGGUCAAAGUCUGCUGCCCAAGUCAGGCUGGGUCUGGGGCGUCCGAGCCUUCCGCGCGCUCUGCGCGGGACCGACCCCAGGAAGAUGUGAACAUGCGGAAAGCUGUUUAGAACAUUUUUCAACAGCUGAAAUCAAGGAACACCAUUGACUGGAUGAAAUAUAAACAAUAGAAGUAUAUUUGGCUCACAGCUCUGAAGUUGGGAAAUCAAUAUCAUGGCGCCAGUAUCUCCAGGGUCUUCAUUGUGCUUCAUCCCAUGUAGCAGAAAGUGAGAAAGUAAGAGGGCACUGGACACAGUGACAAUUUUUGGAAAUGUCAUUCAUCCAUUCAUGAGGGCAGUGUCUUCAUGAUUUAGUCACUUCUAAUAGGUCCUGCUCUAAACAUUUUAAUGGUUGCAAUUAGAUUCAACAUGAGUUUUGGAGUGGACAUUCAGCCACACAAGUUUGAACCAUUCUGCUUCAUGAUUUUUCAAAUGCAAAAAUGAAUGUCUUUCUCAUAUCUGCAUCUAUAAGAGGAUAAUGCAAAUAUGGAAAACAUAUUACCAAUGUCAAAAUGUAGGAUUUCAAGGAAACUUAUCACAAAUGUUUCUUUCACAAAAAAAAAAUUGAAAAAACAAAUUUUUCAUGAGGGGUUCCUUGGACUUUAGGGUCACAUAAAUACUGAUGCUACCAUAUUUUUGAAAUAUAUAAACCAGUUCCUUCUGUAGAAAUAUUAUUUUUCCUUUUCCUUGUCAAAGUAAAGAUGAAAUUACUAAUUGCUUCUUCCCACUCCUCAAAAAUGUAUGAGUGCAGGAAUGCUUUCAUUUCUCAAAAAAGUGUGAGUACCCUUGAAUCACUAUGGAAUUCACUGCUGUUUCAGAAAAAUGUGUGUAUUAAAUACGCUAUCUCCUGAUAACCUCAAAGAAUCCAAUCUCAUAUAACAAGAUAGGGAUUCCUAGUUGCAGUUCAUGUGGAACAUUUGCUGACAGUCAAAUAAACAAAAUGAGACUUCAGGCCCAUAUGGGGUUUCUUGGAAUCCAAAGUAGAUUUAUUUGUGUCUACAAUCUAGAAGUAUCUUAAAAGAGUGGCAUCAGUUUUUGACCUGCUCUCUAAUCAGGAACUUUGUGAAAGUUCUCUAUUAAAAUUUUGUAUCUCUAGCAUUUUUUCAUUUUUAUUGGUACACAUGAUUUCUAUAUUAAGAUCUCUCUCUCCUUCUUCUUCUUUCUCUCUCUUUCAUGAAAAGUAACUGAUGAAUUGAUUAAAAUUGCAAAAAAAUUGUGGUGUAAAGAAGUUAACCCAGAUAAAGUGUGCAAGUGAAUGUUCUUUAGUUUACUCACAGAAUCAUGCAAACAUCACCACAAUCUAAAUUUAGAACAUUUUAAUCACUGUUAGAAAAACCUUAUAUACAUUACCAGCAUUCAGUUAACCUUGCUGUACCUUUAUAGCCCAUUUCUUCAAUUAUUUUCUGUACCUAUAAAUUUGCCUGUUCUGGAAAUUACAUAAAAUGAAAUGAUAUAAUAGGCAAUCUUUUUUUACUAACUUAUUUCAUUUUGAGUAAUAUUUAAAAAUUAUUUUCAUUUCAUUUGAAAGGCAGGGAGACACAUAUGCAUAUGUACACAUACAUGAGAGAGAUAGAGGCGGAGAGAGAGAGAGAGAGAGAGAGAGAGAUUGCUCAUUCACAAGAGAUAGGAUUGGAACAUGUCAAACCAGGAGCUUGGAGCUCAAUCCUCAUAUCACAUAUGGGUGGCAGAGACCCAAAUAUUUGAGUUGUCAUGUGUUGUCUCCAAGUGUGUGCAUUAGCAGGAAUCUGGGUCAGAAAAUGAGGAACUGGAACAAGAACCAGCCACUUCAAUAAGGGAUGCAGACUUUUCAAGCAGCAAUUCAUCUACUGUAAUAAAAGACCCACUGCUAGCACAAUAAUGUUGAUGUUCACCCAAGUUAUAGAGUACAUUAGUAUUUCAUUGCUUUUUAUGGAUAAAUGAUAUUUCAUUGUACAGUUAUAACAUACUUUAUUUGUCCAUUCAUCAGUUGACAGAGUCAUUUCUACUUUUUGGCUAUUAUGAACAGUGUUGCUAGAAACAUUAUUGUACAGAUUUUUAUGUGGAUAUAUGUUUCCAUUUCCCUUUGGUACAUGCCUAGAAAUAAAAUUGCUGGUGAUAUAAUAA